CGAGCGUUGUCCGGAAUUAUUGGGCGUAAAGGGCUUGUAGGCGGCCCGUCAAGUCGGGUGUGAAAUCCCCAGGCUUAACCUGGGAAGUGCGCGCGAAACUGACGAGCUUGAGUGCCGGAGAGGGUCGCGGAAUUCCCGGUGUAGAGGUGAAAUUCGUAGAUAUCGGGAGGAACACCAGUGGCGAAGGCGGCGACCUGGACGGACACUGACGCUGAGACGCGAAAGCGUGGGGAGCAAACAGG
rnacentral:rRNA from 1 species